rnacentral:rRNA from 1 species
GACGGGGGGGGGGGGCAAGUGUUCUUCGGAAUGAUUGGGCGUAAAGGGCAUGUAGGCGGUGAAUCGGGUUGAAAGUGAAAGUUGCCAAAAAGUGGAGGUAUGCUCUCGAAACCAAUUCACUUGAGUGAGACAGAGGAGAGUGGAAUUUCGUGUGUAGGGGUGAAAUCCGUAGAUCUACGAAGGAACGCCAAAAGUGAAGGCAGCUCUCUAGGUCCCUACCAACGCUGGGGUGCGAAAGCAUGGGGAGCGAACAGG